GACGUAGGGCGCGAGCGUUGUCCGGAUUUAUUGGGCGUAAAGAGCUCGUAGGCGGUUUGUCGCGUCGUCUGUGAAAACCCACGGCUCAACUGUGGGCUUGCAGUCGAUACGGGCAGGCUAGAGUUCGGUAGGGGAGACUGGAAUUCCUGGUGUAGCGGUGAAAUGCGCAGAUAUCAGGAGGAACACCGGUGGCGAAGGCGGGUCUCUGGGCCGAUACUGACGUGAGGAGCGAAAGCGUGGGGGAGCGAACAGG
rnacentral:rRNA from 1 species